AGCGAACGGGGAGCAGCCCAGAGCCUGAAUCAGUGUGUGUGUUAGUGGAAGCGUCUGGAAAGGCGCGCGAUACAGGGUGACAGCCCCGUACACAAAAAUGCACAUAUUGUGAGCUCGAUGAGUAGGGCGGGACACGUGGUAUCCUGUCUGAAUAUGGGGGGACCAUCCUCCAAGGCUAAAUACUCCUGACUGACCGAUAGUGAACCAGUACCGUGAGGGAAAGGCGAAAAGAACCCCGGCGAGGGGAGUGAAAAAGAACCUGAAACCGUGUACGUACAAGCAGUGGGAGCCUCUUAAUGGGGUGACUGCGUACCUUUUGUAUAAUGGGUCAGCGACUUAUAUUCUGUAGCAAGGUUAACCGAAUAGGGGAGCCGAAGGGAAACCGAGUCUUAACUGGGCGUUAAGUUGCAGGGUAUAGACCCGAAACCCGGUGAUCUAGCCAUGGGCAGGUUGAAGGUUGGGUAACACUAACUGGAGGACCGAACCGACUAAUGUUGAAAAAUUAGCGGAUGACUUGUGGCUGGGGGUGAAAGGCCAAUCAAACCGGGAGAUAGCUGGUUCUCCCCGAAAGCUAUUUAGGUAGCGCCUCGUGAAUUCAUCUCCGGGGGUAGAGCACUGUUUCGGCAAGGGGGUCAUCCCGACUUACCAACCCGAUGCAAACUGCGAAUACCGGAGAAUGUUAUCACGGGAGACACACGGCGGGUGCUAACGUCCGUCGUGAAGAGGGAAACAACCCAGACCGCCAGCUAAGGUCCCAAAGUCAUGGUUAAGUGGGAAACGAUGUGGGAAGGCCCAGACAGCCAGGAUGUUGGCUUAGAAGCAGCCAUCAUUUAAAGAAAGCGUAAUAGCUCACUGGUCGAGUCGGCCUGCGCGGAAGAUGUAACGGGGCUAAACCAUG
rnacentral:rRNA from 1 species